UACGUAGGGUGCGAGCGUUGUCCGGAAUUAUUGGGCGUAAAGAGCUCGUAGGCGGCUUGUCGCGUCGGAUGUGAAAGCCCGGGGCUUAACUCCGGGUCUGCAUUCGAUACGGGCAGGCUAGAGUUCGGUAGGGGAGAUCGGAAUUCCUGGUGUAGCGGUGAAAUGCGCAGAUAUCAGGAGGAACACCAGCGGCGAAGGCGGCGCUCUGGGCCGGAACUGACACUGAGGAGCGAAAGCGUGGGUAGCAAACAGG
rnacentral:rRNA from 1 species